AUUGAACGCUGGCGGCAGGCCUAACACAUGCAAGUCGAACGAGCGGCGGACGGGUGAGUAAUGUCUGGGAAACUGCCUGAUGGAGGGGGAUAACCACUGGAAACGGUAGCUAAUACCGCAUACCAUCAGAUGUGCCCAGAUGGGAUUAGCUGGUAGGUGGGGUAAUGGCUCACCUAGGCGACGAUCCCUAGCUGGUCUGAGAGGAUGACCAGCCACACUGGAACUGAGACACGGUCCAGACUCCUACGGGAGGCAGCAGUGGGGAAUAUUGCACAAUGGGCGCAAGCCUGAUGCAGCCAUGCCGCGUGUAUGAAGAAGGCCUUCGGAUGGUAAAGAACUUUAAGUGGGGAGGCGUUACCAGCAGAAUAAGCACCGGCUAACUUCGUGCCAGCAGCCGCGGUAAUUC
rnacentral:rRNA from 1 species